UAAUACCAAUCUGUCACCUCAGCCACAAAAAGCUUGAAACAGGUAAACUUGACAUGGGUAAGCUUGGGUGUGAUUCUGGAAUAAUACCAAGCUGUCACCUCAGCCACAAAAAGCUUGAAACAGGUAAACUUGACAUGGGUAAGCUUGGGUGUGAUUCUGGAAUAAUACCAAGCUGUCACCUCAGCCACAAAAAGCUUGAAACAGGUAAACUUGACAUGGGUAAGCUUGGGUGUGAUUCUGGAAUAAUACCAAGCUGUCACCUCAGCCACAAAAAGCUUGAAACAGGUAAACUUGACAUGGGUAAGCUUGGGUGUGAUUCUGGAAUAAUACCAAGCUGUAACCUCAGCCACAAAAAGCUUGAAACAGGUUAAUUUGACAUGGGUAAGCUUGGGUGUGAUUCUGGAAUAAUACCAAGCUGUCACCUCAGCCACAAAAAGCUUGAAACAGGUAAACUUGACAUGGGUAAGCUUGGGUGUGAUUCUGGAAUAAUACCAAGCUGUCACCUCAGCCACAAAAAGCUUGAAUCAGGUAAACUUGACAUGGGUAAGCUUGGGUGUGAUUCUGGAAUAAUACCAAGCUGUAACCUCAGCCACAAAAAGCUUGAAACAGGUUAACUUGACAUGGGUAAGCUUGGGUGUGAUUCUGGAAUAAUACCAAGCUGUCACCUCAGCCACAAAAAGCUUGAAACAGGUAAACUUGACAUGGGUAAGCUUGGGUGUGAUUCUGGAAUAAUACCAAGCUGUCACCUCAGCCACAAAAAGCUUGAAACAGGUAAACUUGACAUGGGUAAGCUUGGGUGUGAUUCUGGAAUAUUACCAAUCUGUCACCUCGGUAAAUCUUAAGAAGUACACUCCACCCCCUCCAACACCCCAGCCCCCCUACCCCACCAAGACAAGCCUGGGGACCUGUGGGGAGCCGGGGUUUUGGGGGGGGGAAGCUUAAUCACUGAAAAAUGGGCUUCCAAAAUUUCCCUAGAAAAAUCCCUAAAACAGGGAAAAUUCCAUAAUCUCAAAAGUAGGGAAAGUCCCUAACGCAUACUCUUGUAGUCUAUUGCAAUAUGACCUAGCAUUCCGUCUGUUGACGAAUGUCAGGCAUGUCAUUGGAUGGUGGGCAUAGUGGCCCCCCCCACCCCACCCGCACUGCGUAAUUUUUGACAGGCCACGCCACAUGUCAAAUAUAUUUAAACUGCUCCAACCGAACUUUACGACCUGCUAAUGAAGAGGGCUUCGCCCCCCUCGACCCACAUGUAUAUGCGACUUCUUUCUGUGAAGAGGUAUUUCUCGCAACACCGGUUGCACCACCGUCACAGCUGCCGCCACAGGAGGCUGCACUUUUGUCAAUAUUAUCCCAUAUUUUCAAUAAUAAAUAGUCCUUGAAUUGGAUUUUGAAAGCGUUACUAUGGUUGUUGAACAUUUGUAGAAAAGAUAUAUGAAUAGCUAGUGUUGUUUCAUAAGGUAGGUAAUGGAUUGAAAUACUGGCACGGUACUAAAACUAUUCUUAACCCAUCAGUUAGCUUCAUCAAUCCUUGUAGGAAACUGUUGUUUCGGUGGUGGAAUGCCAAAUCACUGAAAAAUGGGCUUCCAAAAUGUCCGUAAAAAAUCAUAUAUAGGGAAAAUUCCCUAGUCUAAAGUAAGGAAAGUCCCUAACGUAUACUCUUGUAAUUUAUUCCAAUAUAACCAACCAGCCGCCACAGCGGGUCUGUUGACGAGUGUCGGGCGCGUAAUUGGAUGGUCACUGUAGUGGAACCCCCCCAACCCCCACCGCCGCCGCCCCAAUCUGUAUAAUUGAGCAACUCUUGGGAAAUGUCAUGUUUCAUAAAAACAUAUGGUACAAUACUGACGGUUAACCCAUCCACUUCUUGUUAGUUGAUGGUAGAUCAUUGUUACCGAGUAGUUUGGGGUACAAAAUGCAACAGAUUUGUGACAGCUGUCAUAUAUGACCCGUUAGUGACCUAACGAUUGCUAUGUAUCACCCUGGCCUCCAUUUUACUUAAACUAUGAUUACGCGCGUCGAACAAUAUCCGGUUGGUUUCUGACACGUGACAAGCUUCAUGCGACCGCUAUUCACAAAACACAGAUCUGUCACAUGCCCGGGUCAUUAUUCAAUUCGAUUUUUGGAUAGUAAUCAGUCCUUUUGUCUAACUACAUGCAUACCAAUAAAGAGGUUGAAUAGUCA